UACGUAGGGUGCAAGCGUUGUCCGGAAUUAUUGGGCGUAAAGAGCGUGUAGGCGGUUUGGUAGGUCCGCUGUGAAAACUCGAGGCUCAACCUCGAGACGCCGGUGGAAACCAUCAGGCUAGAGUCCGGAAGAGGAGAGUGGAAUUCCUGGUGUAGCGGUGAAAUGCGCAGAUAUCAGGAGGAACACCGGUGGCGAAGGCGGGUCUCUGGGCCGAUACUGACGCUGAGGAGCGAAAGCGUGGGGAGCGAACAGG
rnacentral:rRNA from 1 species